UACGUAGGGUGCAAGCGUUAAUCGGAAUUACUGGGCGUAAAGCGUGCGCAGGCGGUCGUGCAAGACAGAUGUGAAAUCCCCAGGCUUAACCUGGGAACUGCAUUCGAGACUGCAUUGCUAGAGUAUGGGAGAGGGAAGUGGAAUUUCAGGUGUAGCGGUGAAAUGCGUAGAUAUCUGAAGGAACAUCAGUGGCGAAAGCGACUUCCUGGACCAAUACUGACGCUCAUGUGCGAAAGCGUGGGGAGCAAACAGG
rnacentral:rRNA from 1 species